rnacentral:rRNA from 1 species
GACGAACCGUCCAAACGUUAUUCGGAAUUACUGGGCUUAAAGGGUGCGUAGGCGGCCCGUUAAGUCAGUGGUGAAAGCCUCCAGCUCAACUGGAGAACUGCCAUUGAUACUGACGGGCUUGAGUACAGACGAGGUUGGCGGAAUUGAUUGUGUAGCGGUGAAAUGCAUAGAUACAAUCAAGAACUCCGAUUGCGUAGGCAGCUAACUAGGCUGUAACUGACGCUGAGGCACGAAAGCGUGGGGAGCGAACAGG